UUCAACAUGGCGGCGGAAGGUGUUAGAUGUGAUACAAAAUCACAGCUAGCUUUGGCUUAAAACCACGAGCAGGAAGUCAACUUGACAUUCAUUUCAUUUUAAACAAAUUUUCCAGAAUAUGAUGGCAUUUGGACUCAAGACAGAUGGAAACGGCGGCUGCAAAACAAAGAAAUGAAGGCCGCGUUGCUCAUGUAAUUCUAAACAUUCAUGCCAAAAAGAGAUUCUUUUACUCUGAUGAAGUAGAGACAAGACCAAGAAUAGAAGUGUUUUCUGGCUAGAAAGUUGUGAAAAAGAGGAAUGUUUAUGCUGUUUCACCAUAAGAAAAGAUUGACCCACUGAGUGUUAGCUUGAAUGUCUGAUUGGCUUAGUACUCUGCAGACAGAUUCAUUAGUGGCUGAUGUUGGCUUUCUUUCUUAAAAUUCACACAGCUUACUAUGGCCAAACCUGGAUGAGGGUGCCUGGGUAACUGUAAGGACGUCAGUUAGAUUGGAGGAGUCUGGUUUUGGCACAGCAUCAAGACCAUGAGAUUGACAAGACAUUUAAGAGGAGACAGAGGAUAAAAACCUGACAGUUUCCUUCAGAUUGUAAGAGGAAGACAAAAGAAAAUGGAAGGUCCAAGAAAAAAUAGUUUGCGAAAUAUUUAGCCUUGAGAGGCAAGACAUUCAGGCUUUAGUUUGACAUGAACUCCUUCAACAUCUUAUGACCAUCAUCCUUGCAUAUUUGGAAAAGCAACCGGAUGCCUUUUAAGAAGAUUCCCCAGCCUAAUAAGAGGGUCUUAAUAGGGUUUGACCGUCAGCUGUUAGAGGGCUUAAAAUGUAACUGUCAGCCGUUAGGGACGGACUACUAUAUGGAGAUAACAAAUCUGAAAAUAACUGAAUAUUUCAUGUAAUACGCAUGAAUUGUGUAUUAAGAAAGACAUUUGCUUACAGAAAACGCAUGCGUUUUUGAAAAGUGUUUAUCACGAAGUAGACAACUUAUUGAAAUACUUAACAAAUCUAUCUGAAGGGUGGGCGACGUGGGGGAGGUUGGUUAGGUGAAAAUAUAACUGUCUUAAAAAUUAUUGUAAUAUUAGAACUAUCUUAAAUAAUAAUAUAACUGUCUAAAAUUAUUGUA